UACGUAGGUGGCAAGCGUUGUCCGGAAUUAUUGGGCGUAAAGCGCGCGCAGGCGGUCCUUUAAGUCUGAUGUGAAAGCCCACGGCUCAACCGUGGAGGGUCAUUGGAAACUGGAGGACUUGAGUACAGAAGAGGAAAGCGGAAUUCCACGUGUAGCGGUGAAAUGCGUAGAGAUGUGGAGGAACACCAGUGGCGAAGGCGGCUUUCUGGUCUGUAACUGACGCUGAGGAGCGAAAGCGUGGGGAGCAAACAGG
rnacentral:rRNA from 1 species